GGCCCACAACUGUGACAUGAGAGGCACAGGUGGAGAGUUCCCUGCGCCGGGCCUCCGAGUUGUGGCUCCUCAGGGAGUGCAGGAUGAUCAGGUAGGAAGCUAUCCGCACCGAGAAGCUGACCACAGAGAUGGAGCCGCCAUCAUCCGGCGGAAAGAGGAAAAUUACUUUCCACUUGAUAAAAGAGUCGAAGAUAAGCUUGGGGGCCAGGACAGAACAGUAACAGAUCUCCACAAAGGAUACGUAGCUGAGCAAGAAAUACAUGGGGGAGCUCCCCACCAUGCUCCUCUGUGUACCCAGCUGAUCCUUCUGCCAUAUACCAAUCUUUCACACACCGGAUGUUUAUACAGAAGGCAGGAAUCUUACGUGGGCAGGUUUCAUCCUCACGGGAACAAUGACUCUAUCACUAGGUAUCCUAUCACAGAGAAGUCAGACGCAGAAGCCUCCCUCCAUCCUAGUUUCCUAUGCAGAGUAAUCAUAAGCUGUCAAAUUUGGAAGGGGCUCAUGGAUUCUUCAUGUUACAGAAGAGGAAUCUGGGGCCCAGAGUCACACAGCUGGUUGGUGCAUAGCCUGAACUAGAACUAUGCGUCUCAGUUUCCCAUUCAACACUUACUUUAAAGAUCAUGAAAUCCAUUGACUCUUCCACCUGGUGCUCACCAAAAUCCAGCUUCCAGAAUGGAGUAAUAACAUGGACAGGGAAGAUAAUCAUGUUUACAACAAAGGCAAAGCCAAGUGGAAGAGUAAAAUCUUAAAAAAAAAAAAAAUGGCAGGAAGAAAGAAAAUUUACAAAAAUGUGGUCCUCAUUGUUCAGCUCCUACUUAUAAGUGAGAACAUGCAGUGUUUGCUUUUCUGUUCCUGUGUUAGUUUGCUGAGGAUAAUGGCUUCCAGCUCCAUUUAUGUCCCUGCAAAGAACAUGAUCUCAUUCCUUUUUCUGGCUGCAUAGUAUUCCAUGGUGUGUAUGUACCACAUUUUCUUUAUCCAGUCUAUUAUUGAUGGGUAUUGGGCAUUUGGGUUGAUUCUAUGUCUUUCCUUUUGUGAAUAGUGCUGUGAUGAACAUAUGUGUGCAUGUAUCUUUAUAAUAGAAUGAUUUCUAUUCAUUUGGGUAUAUACCCAGUGGUGGGAUUGCUGGGUCAAAUAGUAUUUCUGCUUCUAGGUCUUUGAUGAGUUAAUAGGUGCAGCAAACCACAAUGGCACACAUUUACCUGUGUAAGAAAUCUGCGUGUCCU
rnacentral:lncRNA from 1 species